UUAACACAUGCAAGUCGAGGGGCAGCAUUUUAGUUUGCUUGCAAACUGAAGAUGGCGACCGGCGCACGGGUGAGUAACACGUGUCCAACCUGCCGAUAACUCCGGAAUAGCCUUUCGAAAGAAAGAUUAAUACCGGAUAGCAUACGAAUAUCGCAUGAUAUUUUUAUUAAAGAAUUUCGGUUAUCGAUGGGGAUGCGUUCCAUUAGUUUGUUGGCGGGGUAACGGCCCACCAAGACUACGAUGGAUAGGGGUUCUGAGAGGAAGGUCCCCCACAUUGGAACUGAGACACGGUCCAAACUCCUACGGGAGGCAGCAGUGAGGAAUAUUGGUCAAUGGGCGAGAGCCUGAACCAGCCAAGUAGCGUGAAGGAUGAAGGCUCUAUGGGUCGUAAACUUCUUUUAUAUGGGAAUAAAGUUUUCCACGUGUGGAAUUUUGUAUGUACCAUAUGAAUAAGGAUCGGCUAACUCCGUGCCAGCAGCCGCGGUAAUACGGAGGAUCCGAGCGUUAUCCGGAUUUAUUGGGUUUAAAGGGAGCGUAGGUGGAUUGUUAAGUCAGUUGUGAAAGUUUGCGGCUCAACCGUAAAAUUGCAGUUGAAACUGGCAGUCUUGAGUACAGUAGAGGUGGGCGGAAUUCGUGGUGUAGCGGUGAAAUGCUUAGAUAUCACGAAGAACUCCGAUUGCGAAGGCAGCUCACUAGACUGUCACUGACACUGAUGCUCGAAAGUGUGGGUAUCAAACAGGAUUAGAUACCCUGGUAGUCCACACAGUAAACGAUGAAUACUCGCUGUUUGCGAUAUACAGUAAGCGGCCAAGCGAAAGCAUUAAGUAUUCCACCUGGGGAGUACGCCGGCAACGGUGAAACUCAAAGGAAUUGACGGGGGCCCGCACAAGCGGAGGAACAUGUGGUUUAAUUCGAUGAUACGCGAGGAACCUUACCCGGGCUUAAAUUGCAACAGAAUAUAUUGGAAACAGUAUAGCCGUAAGGCUGUUGUGAAGGUGCUGCAUGGUUGUCGUCAGCUCGUGCCGUGAGGUGUCGGCUUAAGUGCCAUAACGAGCGCAACCCUUAUCUUUAGUUACUAACAGGUCAUGCUGAGGACUCUAGAGAGACUGCCGUCGUAAGAUGUGAGGAAGGUGGGGAUGACGUCAAAUCAGCACGGCCCUUACGUCCGGGGCUACACACGUGUUACAAUGGGGGGUACAGAAGGCGGCUACCUGGUGACAGGAUGCUAAUCCCAAAAACCUCUCUCAGUUCGGAUCGAAGUCUGCAACCCGACUUCGUGAAGCUGGAUUCGCUAGUAAUCGCGCAUCAGCCACGGCGCGGUGAAUACGUUCCCGGGCCUUGUACACACCGCCCGUCAAGCCAUGGGAGCCGGGGGUACCUGAAGUACGUAACCGCAAGGAUCGUCCUAGGGUAAAACUGGUGACUGGGGCUAAGUAA
rnacentral:rRNA from 1 species